rnacentral:misc_RNA from 1 species
AGUUUGAUUAUGGCUCAGAUUGAACGCUGGCGGAUGCUUUACACAUGCCGUCGAACGGCAGCACGGACUUCGGUCUGGUGGCAACAUGGCGAACGGUAUAAUGUAUUCUGAACGCCCAGUAAGCCGUAUGCAACGCAUGCGCGAAAGUUGUAGCCGUUAAUACCGCAUACGCCCUUCGGGGGAAAGCGGGGAUCUCUGGGCCUGCACUUAUUAGAGCGGCCGAUAUCGGAUUACGGUUUGGUGGGUAACGGCCACCUGAGCGCGAUGAUCCCAGCUGGUUUGAGAGGACGACCAGCCACACUGGGACUGAGACACGGCCCAGACCUCUACGGGAGGCAGCAGUGGGGAAUUUCGGCUGUCGGGGAAACCCUGAUCCAGCCAUCCCGCGUGUGCGAUGGAAGGCCUUCGGGUUGUAGCACUUUUGGCAGGAAAGAAAAUGGCAUCGAUAAUACCCCACCGACGCACCUGCAGAAUAAGCACCGGCUAACUACGCCAGCAGCCGCGGUCAUUUAGGGUGCAAAGUAUAUCUGAAUUAUUUUGGCAGCGUGGGGAAAAGCGGAAAGGCGGUUCGGAAAGAAAGAUGAAACCCAGAGCUUAACUUUGAACUGCAUUUUUAACUACCGAGCUUAGAGGUCGAGGGUGAAAUGGUGACCUUCAAAGGUGGCGUGGAAAGCAGCGCGCGUAGAUAUGCGGAGGAACACCUGAUGGCGAAGGCAGCCUCCUGGGAUAACACUGACGCUCACAUCAUGCCCGUGGAGCAAACAGGUGAUUAGAUACCCUGGUAGUCCACGCCCCCAAACGAUGUCAACUAGCUGUUGGGCCUUCCGGGCCGCAGAAGCGCAGCUAACGCGCGAAGGCUGACCGCCUGGGGAGUACGGUCGCAAGACAACCCCAUGAAUUGACGGGGACCCGCACAAGCGGUGGAUGAUGUGGAUUAAUUCGAUGCAACGCGAAAACCUUACCUACCUUUGACAUGUCUGAAUCCCGAAGAGAUUUGGGAGUGCUCGUAAGAGAACCGGACGAACAUAUGCUGCAUGGUCGCCGCUCGCGCUCAUGUGUCGUGAGAUGUUGGGUUAAGUCCUGCAACGAGCGCAACCUCCUUGUCAUUAGUUGCUACGAAAGGGCACUCUAGAAUGAGACUGCCGGUGACAAACCGGAGGAAGGUGGGGAUGACGUCAAGUCUCAUGGCCCUUGCGGGUAGGGCUUCAAGCACGUCAUACAAUGGUCGGGCCAGGUCGCCAACCCAGAGGGGAGCCAAUCCCAGAAACCCGAUCAGUCCGAUCAGGCCCGUAACCCGACUGCGUGAAGUCGGACCGCUAGUAAUCGCGGAUCAGCAUGUCGCGGUGAAUACGUUCCCUGGUCUUGUACACACUGCCCGUCACACCAUGGGAGUGGGUUUUACCAGAAGUAGUUAGCCUAACCGUAAGGAGGGCGAUUACCAAUGGUAGAUUCAUGACUGGGGUAGAAGUCGCAACAAGGUAACCCCGUUAUCACCUGAUGCCCCUAUAUACGUAACUGAAUCCGAAGCACAACGAUGAAGCGAUGCGGCUACACCAGGCGCACAUGAUAGCCUGUUGUCGUUUUAGCGAGAUUUCGCCUCUAUGGGUUCAUUAUCCUGCCCGUGGAGGCAGCCCUUGCGGUUAGGUUACAUCACCGUAGGCCGCCCAUGGUGUGACGAUAAAGGACAAGACCGGAACGUAUUCACCGCGAGCAUUGAUCCGUGAUUACUAGCGAUUCCAAUCAGCUGCAGGUUUGAUGUACAUCACAAUCCGACUACGAUAUUAACUUCUUCGGGAUUACCCUCGCGGGUUGGCGGCCUCUGCAGUAGCGUACCAUUGUAUGACGUGUGAAGCCCUACCCAUAAGGGCCAUGAGGACUUGACGUCAUCCCUGACUUUCCUCCGGUUUGUCACCAGCUUCAUGACGUCUUUCGCAACCAGCGCAGGCCAAAGCUCAAGGUAUUCCAACCGUCAUCCCAAUACGAGCGACGACAACAGCGCAGCACCUGCAGUUAGUUGCCUCUUCGAGCCACUUCUGAAUCUCUCUCAGAGGUUCCGUACAUGCCGCCAAGGGUAGGUAAGGGUUUUUCGUUAGCAUCAAUUAAUCCCACAUGUAUCAUCCACCGCUUGUGCGGUCCCCGUCAAUUCCUUUGAGUUUAAUCUUGGCAUCAGGUUCCAGGGCGUAAUUACUUCACGCGCGUUAGCUGCGUUACUACAUAACGUCCCACAUCCAGCGACAUCGUUUAGGCGCGGAGAUCAUCAGGUAUCUAAUCCUGUUUGCUCCCCACGCUUUCGUGCAUGAGCGUCAGUAAGACCCCAGGGGGCCGCUCUCACAUCGAGUUCCUCCAUAUCUCGUCACAUUUCACUGCUACACGUGGAAUUCUCCACUUCCUCUUCAGAUAAUAAUUCUUCAGCCGCACGCAGUCUCAAAUGCCAUUCCCAGGUUGAUCGGGAUUUCACAUCUGACUUACAUAACCGCCUGCGCACGUUACGCCCAGCAUCCGAUUAACGCUUGCACCCUACGUAUUACCGCGGCUCGCCAUAAAUGUGAAGUAGUUCAGCGUUUAUUUCAUGUACCGGGCUCAUGGAAAAGAUAUUACUCACCGUUUCUUCCCUGAAAUAGUUUCUUUACAACCCGAAGGCCUUCUCUUCACCACUGGUUGCUUUGUCGGAUCAGGCUUUGCGCCCAUUGUCCGUACUCUUCAUCACUGCCGCCUCCCAGGAGUCUGGACCGUGUUCCCAGUUCCGGAGUAUGGUCGGUCGUCCUCUCUGCAUCCAGCCCACGACGGUUCUGGCAGGCCUUUACCUUCACCAUAACCAUCGCGAGAACGAUACCGCUCACUCCACAGUAUGGAGGCCUUGGUGAUCUCCCACUUUCAUCCAGAUCACAGUAUUAGCGAAUCGUGGCCGGCGGUCCUCACCUUCCAGCGGUACGUUCCGAUAUUGCUCAUCUGCUGCCAUCGCCACCAGAGCGCGCUCCUGUGCUGCCGUUCGACUCUGUACGCGCAAGGCAUGCUGCCAGCGUUCAAUCUGAGCCAGAACUGAACCCCAACCAGUUACC